GCGAGAGUGGCGGAAUUGGCAGACGCGCUAGACUUAGGAUCUAGUGGGUAACCGUAGGGGUUCAAGUCCCCUCUCUCGCACCA
rnacentral:tRNA from 1 species